rnacentral:misc_RNA from 1 species
CCUGCGGAAGGAUCAUUACCGAGUGCGGGCUGCCUCCGGGCGCCCAACCUCCCACCCUUGACUACCUAACACUGUUGCUUCGGCGGGGAGCCCUCUCGGGGGCGAGCCGCCGGGGACUACUGAACUUCAUGCCUGAGAGUGAUGCAGUCUGAGUCUGAAUAUAAAAUCAGUCAAAACUUUCAACAAUGGAUCUCUUGGUUCCGGCAUCGAUGAAGAACGCAGCGAACUGCGAUAAGUAAUGUGAAUUGCAGAAUUCAGUGAAUCAUCGAGUCUUUGAACGCACAUUGCGCCCCCUGGCAUUCCGGGGGGCAUGCCUGUCCGAGCGUCAUUGCUGCCCAUCAAGCCCGGCUUGUGUGUUGGGUCGUCGUCCCCCCCGGGGGACGGGCCCGAAAGGCAGCGGCGGCACCGUGUCCGGUCCUCGAGCGUAUGGGGCUUUGUCACCCGCUCGAUUAGGGCCGGCCGGGCGCCAGCCGACGUCUCCAACCAUUUUUUUCAGGUUGACCUCGGAUCAGGUAGGGAUACCCGCUGAACUUAAGCAUAU